CAGCCGCCGCGGGAAAACAGAGGGUGCGAGCGUUAAUCGGAUUUACUGGGCGUAAAGCGUGCGUAGGCGGCUUUUUAAGUCGGAUGUGAAAUCCCUGAGCUUAACUUAGGAAUUGCAUUCGAUACUGGGAAGCUAGAGUAUGGGAGAGGAUGGUAGAAUUCCAGGUGUAGCGGUGAAAUGCGUAGAGAUCUGGAGGAAUACCGAUGGCGAAGGCAGCCAUCUGGCCUAAUACUGACGCUGAGGUACGAAAGCAUGGGGAGCAAACAGGAUUAGAUACCCCGUAGUCCCUGUCUCUUAUACC
rnacentral:rRNA from 1 species